UACGUAGGGUGCAAGCGUUGCCCGGAUUUAUUGGGCGUAAAGGGCGCGUAGGCGGCUCUGCACGUUCGUUGUGAAAUCGCCCGGCUCAACUGGGCGGGGUCAGCGGAUACGGCAGAGCUUGAGCAAGCUAGGGGGCAAUGGAAUUCCCGGUGUAGUGGUGGAAUGCGUAGAGAUCGGGAGGAACACCAGCGGCGAAGGCGGCAAACUGGAUAGGCACUGACACUCAACAACGAAAGCGUGGGGAGCAAACGGG
rnacentral:rRNA from 1 species